UACAGAGGCCCCAAGCGUUACUGGGAAUCACUGGGUUUAAAGGGUGCGUAGGUGGUCCGUUAAGUUCGUUGUGAAAGCCCUGGGCUCAACCCAGGAACUGCUUCGAAUACUGGCGGACUUGAGGCUAGUAGGGGUUACUGGAACUGACGGUGGAGCGGUGAAAUGCGUAGAUAUCGUCAGGAACGCCAAUGGUGAAGACAGGUAACUGGGCUAGUUCUGACACUGAGGCACGAAAGCGUGGGGAGCGAACGGG
rnacentral:rRNA from 1 species